rnacentral:tRNA from 1 species
GUUUUAAUAGUUUAUAAAAAAUAUCGGUCUUGUAAACCGAAGAUAAGACAAGGACCCCCUUUUAAAACU